rnacentral:rRNA from 1 species
CCUACGGGUGGCAGCAGGGGGGAAUAUUGCACAAUGGGGGAAACCCUGAUGCAGCGACGCCGCGUGAGUGAAGAAGUAUUUCGGUAUGUAAAGCUCCAUCAGCAGGGAAGAAACCCACCCUCCGGGGUGGCUGACGGUACCUGACUAAGAAGCCCCGUCUAACUACGUGCCAGCAGCCGCGGUAAUACGAAGGGGGCAAGCGUUAUCCGGAUUUACUGGGUGAAAAGGGAGCGUAGGUGGCAAGGCAGGUCAGAUGCGAAAACCCGGGGCACAACCCCGGGAGUGCAUUUGAAACUGUCUGGCUAGAGUGCAGGAGAGGUAAGUGGAAUUCCUAGUGUAGCGGGGAAAUGCAUAGAUAUUAGGAGGAACACCAGUGGCGAAGGCGGCUUACUGGACUGUAACUGACACUGAGGCUCGAAAGCGUGGGGAGCAAACAGGAUUAGAUACCCGAGUAGUC